AGCACUGUGUAAUGCAGAUGGAGCAAAUUGAAAUAUUGCUUUCUUCAUGUUUAUGCCUGUUAAGCUGAUGAGAGACACUGGGCUGGGUUGACACUGCUACUCCAAAUAUUACUUUGGAAACACGGUUUCUGUGAUGUGGUGACGGGUGGCAACCUCAUACCUCGGCUCUAGUACACACACAAGAUGCCAAAACCCAGCAUUAUUAACGCCUGACAAUGGCUGGUCGUCAAGUGCAAUCAUGUAUUGGGUAAGAGCCUCCGUUAUUUUUAGAGCC